CCCUGCCCCCGGCGGGGGAUAACUACUCGAAAGGGUGGCUAAUACCGCAUGAGACCACGGGGUCUUCGGACCCUGAGGCCAAAGACGGCACCGGCUUGCCGGUGCUGUCACCUGGGGAUGGGCCCGCGUACGAUUAGCUAGUUGGUGAGGUAACGGCUCACCAAGGCUCCGAUCGUUAGCUGGUCUGAGAGGAUGGCCAGCCACACUGGAACUGAAACACGGUCCAGACUCCUACGGGAGGCAGCAGUGAGGAAUAUUGCGCAAUGGGGGAAACCCUGACGCAGCAACGCCGCGUGGGUGAAGAAGGCCUUCGGGUCGUAAAGCCCUUUCGGACGGGACGAACGCUUCGCGGGGAUAAUCCGCGAAGCUUGACGGUACCGUAGGAAGAAGCACCGGCUAACUCCGUGCCAGCAGCCGCGGUAA
rnacentral:rRNA from 1 species